rnacentral:tRNA from 1 species
GGGCAAUUAGUUUAAUGGUUAGAACACACUCGCACGGGUGAGAAAAAGGUUCGAUUCCUUUAUUGCCCACAA